ACAGGUGCUGCAUGGCUGUCGUCAGCUCGUGUCGUGAGAUGUUGGGUUAAGUCCCGCAACGAGCGCAACCCCCGUGUUCUGUUGCCACCCAGAGUAAAUGAGCACUCUGGACAGACUGCCUGGUUUCAACUAGGAGGAAGGUGGGGAUGACGUCAAGUCAGUAUGGCCCUUACGGCCAGGGCUGCACACGUACUACAAUGCCUGAUAUAAUGGGAAGCAAGACCGCGAGGUGGAGCAAAUCCUCAAAAUCAGGCCCAGUUCAGAUUGUAGGCUGCAACUCGCCUACAUGAAGGAGGAAUCGCUAGUAAUGCCGUAUCAGCUACGACGGCGUGAAUACGUUCCCAGG
rnacentral:rRNA from 1 species